rnacentral:rRNA from 1 species
AUUGAACGCUGGCGGCAGGCCUAACACACGCAAGUCGAGCGAGCGGCGGACGGGUGAGUAAUGUAUGGGGACUGCCCGAUAGAGGGGGAUAACUACUGGAAACGGUAGCUAAUACCGCAUACUAUCGGAUAACCCAUAUGGGAUUAGCUAGUAGGUGAGGUAAUGGCUCACCUGGGCGACGAUCCCUAGCUGGUCUGAGAGGAGGAUCAGCCACACUGGGACUGGGACACGGCCCAGACUCCUACGGAGGCAGCAGUUGGGAAUAUUGCACAAUGGGCGCAAGCCUGAUGCAGCCAUGCCGCGUGUAUGAAGAAGGCCCUAGGGUUGUAAAGUACUUUCAGUCGGUAUGCGUUACCGACAGAAGAAGCGCCGGCGAACUCCAUGCCAGCAGCCGAGUUAGUUC